AGGGGAUUAGUUCAGCCCGGUAGAACGUCGGUCUCCAAAACCGAAUGUCGGCGGUUCGAAUCCGUCAUCCCCUGCCA
rnacentral:tRNA from 5 species